AGGAUCAUUACUGAAUUGUCAACAAGAGUUGUUGCUGGUCCUUGCAUAGGGGCAUGUGCACGCUCUGUUUACACAUCCACUCACACCUGUGCACCCUCUGUAGUUCUGUGGCCUGGGGGGCUCUGUCCUCCUGCUGCGGUUCUAUGUCUUUACACACACACCGUAACAAAGUCUCAUGGAAUGUAUGUCGCGUUUAACGCAAUGAAAUACAACUUUCAGCAACGGAUCUCUUGGCUCUCGCAUCGAUGAAGAACGCAGCGAAAUGCGAUAAGUAAUGUGAAUUGCAGAAUUCAGUGAAUCAUCGAAUCUUUGAACGCACCUUGCGCCCUUUGGCUAUUCCGAAGGGCAUGCCUGUUUGAGUAUCAUGAACACCUCAACUCUCAUGGCUUGCCGUGAUGAGCUUGGACUUUGGGGGUCUUGCUGGCCUGUGAGUCAGCUCCUCUUAAAUGAAUUAGCUUGCCAGUGUUUGGUGGCAUCACAGGUGUGAUAACCAUCUACGCUUGUGGUUUUCCACCAGGUAACCUUCAGCAGUGAGGGUUCGCUGGAGCUCACAAAUGUCUCUCCACUGCGAGGACAUAUUUUGACCAUUUGAUCUCAAAUCAGGUAGGACUACCCGCUG
rnacentral:rRNA from 1 species